rnacentral:rRNA from 1 species
UACGGAGGGUGCAAGCGUUGUCCGGAUUUAUUGGGUUUAAAGGGUGCGUAGGCGGCCCGUUAAGUCAGUGGUGAAAGCCUCCAGCUCAACUGGAGAACUGCCAUUGAUACUGACAGGCUUGAGUACAGACGAGGUUGGCGGAAUUGAUUGUGUAGCGGUGAAAUACAUAGAUACAAUCAAGAACUCCGAUUGCGUAGGCAGCUAACUAGGCUGUAACUGACGCUGAGGCACGAAAGCGUGGGGAGCGAACAGG